rnacentral:rRNA from 1 species
UACGUAGGGCGCAAGCGUUGUCCGGAAUUAUUGGGCGUAAAGAGCUCGUAGGCGGCUUGUCACGUCGGAUGUGAAAGCCCGGGGCUCAACCCUGAAACUGCAUUCGAUACUGCCUUGCUCGAGGACUGGAGAGGAGAUUGGAAUUCACGGUGUAGCAGUGAAAUGCGUAGAUAUCGUGAGGAAGACCAGUGGCGAAGGCGGAUCUCUGGACAGUUCCUGACACUGAGGCACGAAGGCCAGGGGAGCAAACGGG